AAAUUGAAGAGUUUGAUCAUGGCUCAGAUUGAACGCUGGCGGCAGGCCUAACACAUGCAAGUCGAGCGGUAGCACAGAGAGCUUGCUCUCGGGUGACGAGCGGCGGACGGGUGAGUAAUGUCUGGGAAACUGCCUGAUGGAGGGGGAUAACUACUGGAAACGGUAGCUAAUACCGCAUAACGUCGCAAGACCAAAGUGGGGGACCUUCGGGCCUCAUGCCAUCAGAUGUGCCCAGAUGGGAUUAGCUAGUAGGUGGGGUAACGGCUCACCUAGGCGACGAUCCCUAGCUGGUCUGAGAGGAUGACCAGCCACACUGGAACUGAGACACGGUCCAGACUCCUACGGGAGGCAGCAGUGGGGAAUAUUGCACAAUGGGCGCAAGCCUGAUGCAGCCAUGCCGCGUGUGUGAAGAAGGCCUUCGGGUUGUAAAGCACUUUCAGCGGGGAGGAAGGCGAUAAGGUUAAUAACCUUGUCGAUUGACGUUACCCGCAGAAGAAGCACCGGCUAACUCCGUGCCAGCAGCCGCGGUAAUACGGAGGGUGCAAGCGUUAAUCGGAAUUACUGGGCGUAAAGCGCACGCAGGCGGUCUGUCAAGUCGGAUGUGAAAUCCCCGGGCUCAACCUGGGAACUGCAUUCGAAACUGGCAGGCUAGAGUCUUGUAGAGGGGGGUAGAAUUCCAGGUGUAGCGGUGAAAUGCGUAGAGAUCUGGAGGAAUACCGGUGGCGAAGGCGGCCCCCUGGACAAAGACUGACGCUCAGGUGCGAAAGCGUGGGGAGCAAACAGGAUUAGAUACCCUGGUAGUCCACGCCGUAAACGAUGUCGAUUUGGAGGUUGUGCCCUUGAGGCGUGGCUUCCGGAGCUAACGCGUUAAAUCGACCGCACGGGAGUACGGCCGCAAGGUUAAAACUCAAAUGAAUUGACGGGGGCCCGCACAAGCGGUGGAGCAUGUGGUUUAAUUCGAUGCAACGCGAAGAACCUUACAGGUCUUGACAUCCACAGAACUUUCCAGAGAUGGAUUGGUGCCUUCGGGAACUGUGAGACAGGUGCUGCAUGGCUGUCGUCAGCUCGUGUUGUGAAAUGUUGGGUUAAGUCCCGCAACGAGCGCAACCCUUAUCCUUUGUUGCCAGCGGUCCGGCCGGGAACUCAAAGGAGACUGCCAGUGAUAAACUGGAGGAAGGUGGGGAUGACGUCAAGUCAUCAUGGCCCUUACGACCAGGGCUACACACGUGCUACAAUGGCAUAUACAAAGAGAAGCGACCUCGCGAGAGCAAGCGGACCUCAUAAAGUAUGUCGUAGUCCGGAUUGGAGUCUGCAACUCGACUCCAUGAAGUCGGAAUCGCUAGUAAUCGUAGAUCAGAAUGCUACGGUGAAUACGUUCCCGGCCUUGUACACACCGCCCGUCACACCAUGGGAGUGGGUUGCAAAAGAAGUAGGUAGCUUAACCUUCGGGAGGGCGCUUACCACUUUGUGAUUCAUGACUGGGGUGAAGUCGUAACAAGGUAACCGUAGGGGAACCUGCGGUUGGAUCACCUCCUUACCUUAAAGAA
rnacentral:rRNA from 1 species